AGGGAAUCUUCGGCAAUGGGGGCAACCCUGACCGAGCAACGCCGCGUGAAUGAAGAAGGUUUUCGGAUCGUAAAGCUCUGUUGUAAGAGAAGAACGAGUGUGAGAGUGGAAAGUUCACACUGUGACGGUAACUUACCAGAAAGGGACGGCUAACUACGUGCCAGCAGCCGCGGUAAUACGUAGGUCCCGAGCGUUAUCCGGAUUUAUUGGGCGUAAAGCGAGCGCAGGCGGUUAGAUAAGUCUGAAGUUAAAGGCUGUGGCUUAACCAUAGUACGCUUUGGAAACUGUUUAACUUGAGUGCAGAAGGGGAGAGUGGAAUUCCAUGUGUAGCGGUGAAAUGCGUAGAUAUAUGGAGGAACACCGGUGGCGAAAGCGGCUCUCUGGUCUGUAACUGACGCUGAGGCUCGAAAGCGUGGGGAGCAAACAGGAUUAGAUACCCUGGUAGUCCACGCCGUAAACGAUGAGUGCUAGGUGUUGGGUCCUUUCCGGGACUCAGUGCCGCAGC
rnacentral:rRNA from 1 species